rnacentral:rRNA from 1 species
GUAACAAGGUCUCCGUUGGUGAACCAGCGGAGGGAUCAUUACUGAGUUUACGCUCUACAACCCUUUGUGAACAUACCUACAACUGUUGCUUCGGCGGGUAGGGUCUCCGCGACCCUCCCGGCCUCCCGCCUCCGGGCGGGUCGGCGCCCGCCGGAGGAUAACCAAACUCUGAUUUAACGACGUUUCUUCUGAGUGGUACAAGCAAAUAAUCAAAACUUUUAACAACGGAUCUCUUGGUUCUGGCAUCGAUGAAGAACGCAGCGAAAUGCGAUAAGUAAUGUGAAUUGCAGAAUUCAGUGAAUCAUCGAAUCUUUGAACGCACAUUGCGCCCGCCAGCAUUCUGGCGGGCAUGCCUGUUCGAGCGUCAUUUCAACCCUCAAGCUCUGCUUGGUGUUGGGGCCCUACAGCCGAUGUAGGCCCUCAAAGGUAGUGGCGGACCCUCCCGGAGCCUCCUUUGCGUAGUAACUUUACGUCUCGCACUGGGAUCCGGAGGGACUCUUGCCGUAAAACCCCCCAAUUUUCCAAAGGUUGACCUCGGAUCAGGUAGGAAUACCCGCUGAACUUAAGCAUAUCAAUAA